rnacentral:rRNA from 1 species
AUUGAACGCUGGCGGAAUGCUUUACACAUGCAAGUCGAACGGCAGCACGAGGGCAACCUUGGUGGCGAGUGGCGAACGGGUGAGUAAUAUAUCGGAACGUGCCCAGUCGUGGGGGAUAACGUAGUGAAAAUUACGCUAAUACCGCAUACGAUCUACGGAUGAAAGCGGGGGAUCGCAAGACCUCGCGCGAUUGGAGCGGCCGAUAUCAGAUUAGGUAGUUGGUGGGGUAAAGGCUCACCAAGCCAACGAUCUGUAGCUGGUCUGAGAGGACGACCAGCCACACUGGAACUGAGACACGGUCCAGACUCCUACGGGAGGCAGCAGUGGGGAAUUUUGGACAAUGGACGAAAGUCUGAUCCAGCCAUUCCGCGUGCAGGACGAAGGCCUUCGGGUUGUAAACUGCUUUUGUACGGAACGAAAAGGCUCCUCUUAAUACGGGGGGCUCAUGACGGUACCGUAAGAAUAAGCACCGGCUAACUACGUG